rnacentral:rRNA from 1 species
GAUGAACGCUGGCGGCGUGCCUAAUACAUGCAAGUCGAGCGAACGGACGAGAAGCUUGCUUCUCUGAUGUUAGCGGCGGACGGGUGAGUAACACGUGGAUAACCUACCUAUAAGACUGGUAUAACUUCGGGAAACCGGAGCUAAUACCGGAUGAUAUUUUGAACCGCAUGGUUCAAAAGUGAAAGACGGUCUUGCUGUCACUUAUAGAUGGAUCCGCGCUGCAUUAGCUAGUUGUUAAGGUAACGGCUUACCAACGCAACGAUGCAUAGCCGACCUGAGAGGGUGAUCGGCCACACUGGAACUGAGACACGGUCCAGACUCCUACGGGAGGCAGCAGUAGGGAAUCGUCCGCAAUGGGCGAAAGCCUGACGGAGCAACGCCGCGUGAGUGAUGAAGGUCUUCGGAUCGUAAAACUCUGUUAUGAGGGAAGAACAUAUGUGUAAGUAACUGUGCACAUCGUGACGGUACCUAAUCAGAAAGCCACGGCUAACUACGUG